CCUACGGGAGGCAGCAGUAAGGAAUAUUGGCCAAUGGACGAAAGUCUGAACCAGCCAUGCCGCGUGAAGGAUUAAGGCCCUCUGGGUUGUAAACUUCUUUUAUCUGGGACGAAAAAAGGGUAUUCUUACUCACUUGACGGUACCAGAGGAAUAAGCACCGGCUAACUCCGUGCCAGCAGCCGCGGUAAUACGGAGGGUGCAAGCGUUAUCCGGAUUUACUGGGUUUAAAGGGUGCGUAGGUGGGCUUGUAAGUCAGUGGUGAAAUCUCCGGGCUUAACCCGGAAACUGCCAUUGAUACUAUAGGUCUUGAAUUAUCUGGAGGUAAGCGGAAUAUGUCAUGUAGCGGUGAAAUGCUUAGAUAUGACAUAGAACACCAAUUGCGAAGGCAGCUUACUACGGAUAUAUUGACACUGAGGCACGAAAGCGUGGGGAUCAAACAGGAUUAGAUACCCUGGUAGUCCACGCCCUAAACGAUGGAUACCUCGACANACANCGANACACUGUGUGUNUGNGNGAGANAUAUAUACCACCNCGAGUACGAGACGCGAGAUAGAACGUAAAGUAAGUAGUAGAGNGNGAGAGCGACGACGACGACGACGAGGAGGAGG
rnacentral:rRNA from 1 species